UACGUAGGGACCAAGCGUUGUUCGGAUUUACUGGGCGUAAAGGGCGCGUAGGCGGCUUAACAAGUCACUUGUGAAAUCUCCGGGCUUAACCCGGAGCGGCCAAGUGAUACUGUCGUGCUAGAGUGCGGAAGGGGCUACUGGAAUCCUCGGUGUAGCGGUGAAAUGCGUAGAUAUCGAGAGGAACACCUGCGGCGAAGGCGGGUAGCUGGGCCGACACUGACGCUGAGGCGCGAAAGCCAGGGGAGCGAACGAG
rnacentral:rRNA from 1 species